UGAACGCUAGCGACAGGCCUAACACAUGCAAGUCAGGGGCAGCACAAGGAGCAAUCUGAGGUGGCGACCGGCGCACGGGUGAGUAACACGUAUGCAACCUGCCUGUAAGCGGGGAAUAACCCGUUGAAAGACGGACUAAUACCGCAUAAUACUAAAUUACUGCAUGGUAAUUUAUUUAAACAUUUAUGGCUUACAGAUGGGCAUGCGCAUGAUUAGCUAGUUGGAGAGGUAACGGCUCCCCAAGGCAACGAUCAUUAGGGGUUCUGAGAGGAAGGUCCCCCACACUGGUACUGAGACACGGACCAGACUCCUACGGGAGGCAGCAGUGAGGAAUAUUGGUCAAUGGACGAGAGUCUGAACCAGCCAAGUCGCGUGCAGGAAGAAUGUCCUAAUGGAUUGUAAACUGCUUUUGCAGGGGAAUAAAGUGCAUCACGUGUGAUGUUUUGUAUGUACUCUGCGAAUAAGGAUCGGCUAACUCCGUGCCAGCAGCGGC
rnacentral:rRNA from 1 species